UUGGUGCAGUGGUUAAGCACUGGGCUGCUAAACCAAAGGUUGGUGGUUCGAACCCACCA
rnacentral:tRNA from 1 species